AUGUCUGAGUGGUUGAAAGAGUCGGUCUUGAAAACCGAAGUAUUUUUAGAAAUACCGAGGGUUCGAAUCCCUAUU
rnacentral:tRNA from 1 species